ensembl:lncRNA
UGUGAAGUGGAUAUUUUAAUGGAGCUUUGCAUAAGAAACAUGGGAAAAGCAGAUGAGCAUAUCAAAAAACUUUAAGCAAAGCUACCUGGUUUAUUAAGAGAAGGGAGUACCCCGCAUAGUCACUGAGCUGAGCUGGCUGCCUGGUCACAGAGCCCUCCAGGACUUUAGAUCUGGUUCACUUGGGUCUCGCUCCAUAAAUUAAUUAAGACAUUCAUGAUUUAAAUAAAUUUAUUCAUCAAUUUAAAAAAUCAUUCAUGUUUUUUUUUCAGUCCCUGGGUGGCUUUUCAGCUUUUAACGUAAGCUUUGAAGUAAAUGGACAGAACAAACAGAAAUUACAGAAACACUCCCUCUGCACAUUCAGGCAAAGGUCUGAUUUCCAGAACGUGGCUGACUGCAUGCAACCUCUGCCUGGCCAGAGGCUUCCCUGGGGAGCUUCCUUCAGAAGAGAGCAAAUACCACUGAAAUAUUCUUCUCAUUAAUUUUGGGGAAGUUUUAAAACAUUUAAGCCUCAAAUUAUUACCAGGUGAGUUGCAAUUUUGCCCACGCUUAUUUUUAAAGCAGAAAGUGCCUAUCCUGAUUCUUUUCUUAAUGUAAAGUUUAAAUUUCCGUGUCCUGAUUUCCCUUAAGAGAAAUCCAGGGAUAAGGAACAAACUCCUGUCCUUGAAGUCAUCCACGGCGGGGCUCUAUUUCAGGACCUGAGCAGCACGAGGAUUUUGCUGCUCAAGUUGGAAAGGUGCGCUCUGUGCCCCCUUCGAAUCUCGUUGCCCAGAAGUUGAUCCCUGUACGGCCCAGGAGCCACGCGAAGGCGGUGAAACCUCAGCAGGUUCUGCCUUCACUCCUUCAGCGCUUCUUCAGGCACCGGCACGAGGGAGACCCCAACCCCGCGUGCUGCAGCGGACCCACGAGCAAUGACCUCAAUGGGAAAACAGGAUUCCAGAGCGCCGUCUUUCCUAAGCAUGUCAAAACUCAGUCCAGCUCCUCCCGAGGCCGAGAUACCGAUUUUCUUCUAACACAUCGGGUUGCACAGCCUCUGGUUUCGGCUUCUCCCCGUCCCCCACUGCAGGGAACGGGCAGAACAGAGCGCUGCCUGCGGGAGGCCCGGCUGGAGGCCCGGUGUGACCCGGUACCGCACGCAAGGCAAAGCUCAUCCCGCAUUCAACUUCCAGUGCUGUUCACGCAGGGUGACGGCGAUGCUUUUUGUCUGUUUGCUUAUUGGGGUUAUGGGGGGAAAUAGCCCUGUCAAUGUGUUACGGCACUGAAUGCCGGAACAAAGCAGGCCUCUCGUUUUCAACGGCAGUCCCUGGGAAAACGACGCGCGUUGCCGAAGUGCCACCUGCUGUCCGUCACCGAUGGCGGCAGCGCAGCUCUGUCCGCACGCACUGCGGGCAGUAACUGGGCGCUCCACAGCUUUUAGUUACUUUCUUACUUCGUUUUAGAGACCUGCGCUGACGAAGCGCCCACACGGGAAGAAGCAAAAGGCUUCGUGUGGACGUUCUGGCGCUAUGUUCACGCCGAGGCCGCGCGUCACUCGCAGCUCAAACUGUCCCCGCGUUCUCGUGGGACGUCGUCACGUUGCUCAGAGCAACCGCCGCUCCCGGCACGAGCGAGGCCGCAGCCGACCGCCCCGCGGACGCAC